CAUUUCCUUCUUCAGGGAAUCUUCCUGAUCCAGGGGUCAAGCCCACAUCUAUUACACUGGCGGCUACAAAUAAAUGGAUGCCAAGGAGGAUCAGUUGAGGCCUGGGUGAUAAUCUAUGAUAUCACCUAACACAAAAAGUAAGGUUGGCCAAAGCAUUAGACAACUUUGAUGAAAUAGGAAAAAAAAUUAGAAAGGAACAAAUUGUUAAAACUGACUCAAGAAGUUAGGAAGACUGAAAAGACCUAAAACAAAUUAAGAUUCUGUAUUAAAAUUUAAAUGAAGAAAGCUCCAAGCAGAAUGGCCAAAAUUGUGAAUUCUAUAAAAAUAUUCUCAGAAGUAAUACUAAUUUUUCUCAAACUCUUUUGUGACAUAGAGGAAACUUUGCACAAAUAAUUUUCUGAGGCCAGUAUUGCCAUAACAUCAAAGAUAGAAAAGAAUGAAAAGAAAAUGCAAAUAAAACUAUAGACCAAUAUCCUUCAUGAACACAGACACAAAUAUCCUUAAUACAAUAUUAGAAAAAAUCAGUAGCAUAUGAAAAGAGAUAAAAACAUGAACAAAUAGGAUUUACUUAGGAAUGCAAAGUUGGUUUAAGAUAUGAAAAUCAAGUGAUGUAAUAUACGAUCUUAGUAGAAUCAACAAAUGCAGAAAAAGUAUUUGACAAAAUAAGAUACUGACUCAAUUAAAACUCUCAAUUAACUAGAAAUAAGUAAAGCUUCCUCAAACUGAUCAAGGAUCUCUAUAAAAAAUAUAUAGUAAAUGUCUUACUUAAUAAUAAAAGACUAAAUAUUUUCCUCUUAAAAUCUGAAACACAACAACGAUGUCUACUCUCAUCAAUACUAUUCAAAAUUAUAACCAGAGGUUCUUUAUACUACAAUAAGAUUAUAAAUAGAUAGAUAGAGAUAGGAACAUACAUCCAGAUUGGAAAGGACAAAAUAAAAGUGUUUUUCUCAGCAGACUACAUCACUAUCUAUAUAGAAAGCCUGAAGAUUUCACAAUAAAUCUACGAGGACUAAUAAAGAAUAUUCUAUACCAUUCAUACUAUAUUCUAUACCACAGGAAAUAAUUCCAUUCAUAGUAGCAUCAGAAAGAAUAAAAUAUUUAAAAGUAAAUGUAACAAUAGAAAUCCAAGAUUUGUACACUAGACUAGAAAACACUUCUCUGAGAAAUUAAAUAUCUAACUGGAAAAAUUUCCGAGCUGGUGAACAUGUGACCAUUUUUUCACAGGAGAGGACAUGGGAGCAUCACGUCCUUUCCCAUACCUUGCCCUGUGCAUCUUUCAUUUGGCUGUUCCUAAAGUAUAUCCUUUUAUAAUUAGUGAUCUAAUGAGGUAACUGAAAGUGAAUCAUCAAGAGAGAUUGUUUCCAUCAGUAGGGCUAGUGGGUACCAGAAUUAACAACUUGGCAUAUCUGAUUA